UCAGCAUGGCAUGGAGAUAUUUUUCAGCCCAUUACUUAAACAAGAAAUAUUAGAUCCACAUUCAUCAGACAUUCUCUAUCCACGAUCUGGGAAGCAGAUGAACAACAGCAGCAGCAGCAACAACAACUGCGAAAAUUGUCCGUACAUAAUCUGGGAGAAAAUGCCCACAAUUCAACACCAAACACAGGCAACAAGCAAGCAUCAAUCAUAUCUCCGAUGUGCACACAAGGAACAGAUGAUCAAGAUGGUGGGGUUGGACGGGGUGAUGGCAGGAACUCCAGUUCACAAUUUCAGAGGUCUGAUAUGAACAAGAAGAUGGUUCAUCAGCAAGACCCAUUCUCUCACCUUCAAAUGCCACAAUGGCCAGGAAUAGAAAGGGGGUGCAGGUGGUUGACCUCAGCCAGAGCUCCGAGGUGGGUAGCCUGGCGGCGGGUAAGCGCCCUGAGGAGGGUAGCCUGGUGGCGGGUAAGCGCCCUGAGGAGGGUAGCCUGGCGGCGGGUAGGCACCCUGGGGAGGGCCAUAUGCAUAAGGCUGCCCAUAAGCCGGUGGAGGGUACCCGGCGGCAGGAGGGAUUGGCUGGUUGAUGCGAGACAUCUGCUGGACCGCCGGCACGGCCAUCACCGAAGGCG
rnacentral:lncRNA from 1 species